GGGCGAGUGGAGUAACGGCAGCCUCGUCAGAUUUAGGGUCUGAUGCUCGCAAGAGCGUGAGGGUUCGAGUCCCUCCUCGCCCA
rnacentral:tRNA from 1 species